rnacentral:lncRNA from 1 species
UCAAUUCUACUGCUUGUAGAGUUUAAGUUUCAGUGCCGUAUCUGGAACUUUUGGUUCUCCAAAUAGUUAGUAUACUCUGAUCGUGAAAGAGUUGUAUUUUUUUUUGAAUGAUUUUAAUCAUUCUAGGACCGACAUCUUCCCUCCAUUUGUUGCAUGGCUUCAUCAUUGCCAAGAUUCGUUGCAUCAAGUACAUCCUAAUUUUCUCCAACAUUGACAAGAUGGGUUUCGCCCAUGCACUCAAGGUAGUACCGUUGAAGGACUUCAAUCAAUUGUUUAGGAGCAUAUCACUGCAAUUUCCCAAUUUGAAAUGCGAUUUACUCUAAUGCUCUACCAGUUUCAACUGAAACCAAUCGUAUGCAGUAGGGUCCAAGUCACACAUUAUAUUCAUCCAUGUCACCCAUGCAGCUUCAGUUGUAGCUCUUGCUGCUAACCAGAGUAAAUUCUUCAAAGCAAGGCCCUUGUAUGUUGCACUAAAGUUAUUGUAAAGAUUUUGCACACGGGUACGAUACUCAACAGGUUUAAACAUCUGUUCAAGUGUUUGUACAAGCCCCAUCUUCUUAUUAGAUAUGAAAACCCAUUGUGGAUGUUAACUCUGCCCAAAUCAUCUCUCAACAACUCCAAAAACCACCUCAAAUUUUCACCGUUCUCAAUCCUCCAUUACAGCAUACGCUAUAGGAUACACCCCCAUUAUUAUCUUCUAUGCCUACUGCUGUCAAUAAAUGACAUUUUCGGUCAAUUUUAAAAAACAACUAUCCAACCUUAUCACCCUCAUGUUUUCACUCAUGAAUCCCACCUUAGGUGCUUCUAAAUAUAUGUUCAAUCUUUAAACUGUUCAACAUGAC